UCCAAACAUUUUAAUUCAUGUUAUUUACUCACUUCUCUAAGGUUAAUGUCCUCUCUGAACCUCAUGGAAGCACUUCCAUUAGAGGCUACCUAACCUGAAAAAGCAGGCCUGUUCAAACAGGCCACAACACGCACUACAGGACAACUGGUAACCCUGGCAACAAGGAUGUGAUGUUUUUGAGAGACAGACACGCAUCAUAAGCAGCUUUAAAAUCAGGGAUUAUGGAUCUUUAAUGACUUCACAAUGUGGGGGGUUCAUAUCUCCUCACCCGCUACUGUAGGUUUCAAAUCCACCACUGUGUCUCUGAAAGGCUGAAAAUGACGUUUCUGGAUUUGUCUGACACAGUUUUCUACAGCCACCCAAAUGAAGCAAACAAACGCCUUUAGCUCUCUUUACACAGCAGAGAUGAAUGUGUGCAGUUUUAGGAUCUUCUCAUUUACUGUCUACAUAGGUGUUUUAUUUCUGAUGAUUAGUGACCAUGGAACAGAGGAUCAGAGCUUUACCCAGCAGACACAGGAUGCAAAGUAGGACAAGACAGUGGAGAGCACACUCAUCCGUGGCCGAAUACACAGUCACACCUGGGACACACCAGCCAGCCUAGCAGCCUGUCUGUGGAAGAAAUAUUCUGAACAGCAGCCUCGAGGGACCUUUAUGGAGAUUACUUAAUGCCAACCUCAUUGACUUGGAAAAGCUGAUCUUC